AUGCACCCGACCACGUCAACGAAUGACAUCUGGCACUACACCUGGGGCAAGGCAGAUUACCGGCCCACUGAUUACUACAAGUUCUAUUUUAGAGACGCGAACGCCCACCCAACAUUCUCUCUGCUCUGGCGUUCUCACUGCAUCAUGCGGAUCAAGGUUUUUGGAUGGCUUCUCAUGAACGAUAGAUUGAACACACAUAACAUGUUGAAGCGACGCCACUUUGACAUUGGCAAUGACCACAGUUGUUUGCUAUGUGGCACUCCAAUUGAGGAGACACUUGAUCACAUGAUUUUUACUCGCCGUUUAGCAGAUCUUGCUGGCAAAAACUUGGCAUUGACUGGCCCUCAUUCACCUGCCGCCUCCAACUGCUUCAACAUGGUAAAGAAACUUGGGGGCGCCCGCUCUUCUUUGACAUAUUUCUAG
rnacentral:rRNA from 1 species